AGUCAGAACACUGACAACACACUAUGUAUUAAGUAACAGAAGCAAAGUUAUACAACUUAAAUUUCAUAGUUUCGAUGGGAAAGUAUGUAAUCUUCCUGAAGAAUAAGGAUUCAAAGUCUCUAGUGACAUGUUAUUUAUAGACUUUAAAUAUCCAAGUCCUUUAAUAAUUAGAACGGGCCCUUUUAGGCAUAUCAUAUCUUAAAGCAGUAACUUCAAACUUUAUUACAAAAGAGAGAGGGUAUUAAUCCAUUCGUUCAAUAUUUUCAAUCAAAAUACUCCAGACUAUACCAACGCAUGGUUCCACCCAAGCCAAAACAAUGCUCAUUCAGUCAUCUUUUGGGUCCUACCUUCUAGAUCCACUAUAGGUCUCACCUCCAAGAAGGUUCUUCCUUUCAUUUUACUUAUCCCUGAGCCUUUCCUUUCCUAAACUCUUCUAAGCUUCACCCGUAUCGUUUAAUAUUUAAUACUCAGUAGUGUAUGAUUAAUUUUUCUCCCAACUGUGCUUAUGGACAUCAACUAAACCCAACUGCAAACCUCUUCAUGACAGGAGACCAUAUAUCAUACUUUUAUGUCUUCCACGGUACAGUUGCAAAGGAAGCAGCAUAUUCUAGAGAAGUACUUUUUUUCCACAAAUAGCACACCCAUGUAAAUAAAGUGCAGAAAUGAUGAAAUUAAGUAAAACAGUUCUUGCAUGUGCACCCAUGCACAUACUGUGCAUGUCUCAUGACAUUUCCAAAAGUGAAUUUCAGCCUCAUUCACUCGUCCUUCCAUAUCUCAGGUAAAUCAUAUCACUCGGUUCUUCUUCCUUCAUUCUGUUCAUUUUCUUUAAUCUCCUGCUUGUGUGUAUAAAAAUAGUCUGAAAAUGUUACUUUUGAUCAUGAUUGUGUAACAGAAGUAUAAGCCAUAGUCAAGAAGUCACGGAGCAAGUUUGGUAGUCCCCCAGUAAUUGGAAAAUAAACCAUCAAAACUGUGCAUUUGUUUCUAUUAAUUUAAGUUGAUGAUUAUAGUGCAUUAGCUCAACAGCUGAAUGCGAAAGCCUUAUCAGAUACUCUUAAGUGAAACCAUUAGGUUAUUAGUUCUGCUUAUUUCAUCGUUUAAUUAUGUCUUCUUAGUGUCUACUGAAGUCAGCAACAUGUAAAAAAAAUUGGCAUAGCAUGCUUUUGAAAAUAACGUGAUGGUGGGGUUGGGGCAGUUGGCAAAAAAAGUAUAAUGCAUGUGUUAUUUGCAAAAAAAAUAGUAUAUGAAAGAGUGUAAGAAUCAGAAGUUUCAAGUGGCUCUCCUGAUUACUUCAAGGAGAAAGUCUGUUUUUAAUAUCUUCUCUAACACUUGAAUAAUAUUUAAAUAUAACGAAUUUUGAGGAUUAACAUGAAUUUCCUGUAACCUGACUUUCUAUUAAGUGAUAUAAAGUUUUAUUUUAAAAUAAACUUGUUUAAAAACUAAGUCAUUUUAUAGUGCCAGAAAUUAAAGAAGUGCUUAAAACAAACAAAAAAUUGAUGGUGGUAUGUCUUAGGGACACAGGACCCAAGUGAAAAAGCUCCCAAUGGUCAAAGCUGGAACAAUUUGAGCAACAAAAUAAAGUAAUAUUGAAUUAUAACCCAGUGUAUAAAAUAAACAUCCAUGAGUCCAUAGUGAUAUAAAUAAACGAUUAAAUAAAUUAACCAAUGGGGGUGGGGGAGAGAAGGGACAAAUCUCCUGUGCAGAAGAAUUGUAACAAAUGUACCACACUAACGUAAGAUGCUAAAAAUAGGGGAUGCUGGGGGGAGGUGCUGUAUGUGGAAACUCCCUGUACUCACUGCUCAAUUUUUAUAUAAAUCUAAAAUCGCUCUACAAAAUGAAGUAUAUUAGUAAAAAAAAUAUAUAUAUCAUUUUAAAUAAAAACAUUAAGUAAAAUAAUAUCAAUUGUAAGAAACUGGGAAAAAUGAAAGUUUAUGUCAAAAUCUGAAUACUCACUCUAUCAUUACCUUAUAUUCUUAAAUUACUAAUCUUUUUACUAAUCAGAAGGUAUGGUAAGACUUCUUUCCCUCUCUCCCUCCCUCCCAGGGUGACCAGGAAGAAUAAACGGAAUAAAUACACAAGUGGGUUAAAAACAAAAGUGGUGGACAAAUGUAAUUUGCAUCUGCCCACUGAAGAAGAAGGUAUGAAAUACAAAAUCUGAGCUGCCAUCCCAAAGCAAGGAUCUUUCAUACUGAUGUAUGACUUCAGGGAGUGUCAAUACUGUAGCAUGUUCAUGUCCAACUACUGUUGUUUUCAGGGCUCUCCCUCAUCUAUCUGUGCUGCUACAUUUAAGAGAAAACUGUCUACAAAUACAGAUAAUAAAAAUAAUUGUCUAAAACACAGAACAAUUAGAAAAAUUAAUUACUCAUUAGGAAAGCAAAAGUGAAUUAGUGUUUUAUUUUAUAUUAUGUCAAAAAGAAGUCAUUUAUUAUUUCUAAACUUCAGCCAACCAGAACUGAGCAAAGAACCAGGAAGUGACCAGAAAAGGAGCCUAUAACAGCCAAAACUGAAGUCAUAAAGUUCAAGUACUAAAAAAGACAAUAAUAGCAUCUAUCUCAUAAGACUGUUGCGAGGAUUAAAAACAACAAACACGGGAGGAGCCAAGAUGGAGGCUUAGUCAGAUAUACCUUGCCAUCCCUCUACAGCGAAGACCCAAAAAACCAACUGAAACUGGUACAUAUGACAAUCCUGGAACCGUGAGUAUCAAAUGAAAGAAUAAAGAAUUAGAUUGAACACUGACUGGAAGAAGAAACUGAUCGAAAACAGUGAACAAAGAGUGAUACGAAGUGGAGGGGCCCUGCCAGCUGACUUGGCAUAACAUGGCCAACUUGACACAAAGCCAACAGGGGAUCCCAGGAACAAUCAGAAAAAAGAAUGAAGAAAGCCAAAGAGUUAUGUGAAACAC